rnacentral:rRNA from 1 species
AGAGUUUGAUCAUGGCUCAGAUUGAACGCUGGCGGCAGGCCUAACACAUGCAAGUCGAACGGUAACAUUUCUAGCUUGCUAGAAGAUGACGAGUGGCGGACGGGUGAGUAAUGCUUGGGAACUUGCCUUUGCGAGGGGGAUAACAGUUGGAAACGACUGCUAAUACCGCAUAAUGUCUUCGGACCAAACGGGGCUUCGGCUCCGGCGCAAAGAGAGGCCCAAGUGAGAUUAGCUAGUUGGUAAGGUAACGGCUUACCAAGGCGACGAUCUCUAGCUGUUCUGAGAGGAAGAUCAGCCACACUGGGACUGAGACACGGCCCAGACUCCUACGGGAGGCAGCAGUGGGGAAUAUUGCACAAUGGGGGAAACCCUGAUGCAGCCAUGCCGCGUGUGUGAAGAAGGCCUUCGGGUUGUAAAGCACUUUCAGUUGUGAGGAAAAGUUAGUAGUUAAUACCUGCUAGCCGUGACGUUAACAACAGAAGAAGCACCGGUUAACUCCGUGCCAGCAGCCGCGGUAAUACGGAGGGUGCGAGCGUUAAUCGGAAUUACUGGGCGUAAAGCGCACGCAGGCGGUUUGUUAAGCUAGAUGUGAAAGCCCCGGGCUCAACCUGGGAUGGUCAUUUAGAACUGGCAGACUAGAGUCUUGGAGAGGGGAGUGGAAUUCCAGGUGUAGCGGUGAAAUGCGUAGAUAUCUGGAGGAACAUCAGUGGCGAAGGCGACUCCCUGG